CCAUUCAAGUCCCACAGUUGCCCUGCGAAACCUCUGUAUAUGAAAAGUUGGCCCUCCAUGUACAUGGGUUUCCCAUCCUGUCACAGAAUUUUCCACACUCCUUGACAGAGGUGCUUAACCCUUAUCCAUCAGCAUUCUCAGACAGCACCUCCGGUUAGGGACAGUAUCUGACCGUCCGACAUCCCUGCAGCCCCCAUGUGUCACACAGACUCAGCCUCAGGUAGAUGGUUUCCGUAGAUGGUGGCUUUCUUUGGACCCUUGACAUCAACCAGUUACUAUUUGCUCCUGCAACCACCGCUGUACUUUCUGUCUCUAUGAACUUGACUACUCUAGACACCUCAUGGGACCAGAUGUGCAGAGGUAAUGAAUACCAGGGAAUCAGGAAACCACUGGAUCAGUUCUUUGAGCCACAGAACAACACUCAUCCCAGCAGCUGGGAAGCUAUCUGCAAAAGUCCAUCUGCAGAAAGGGCUUCCUGGUCUUGCGUGUGGCUGGGCCAUUUCUCUGGAUGCAGGUUUUUCAUUAUACAGUCUUCUCAAAGAACCACCUGCUCUCAACACC
rnacentral:lncRNA from 1 species